CUGAGUUAAAAAACUCCCAACCCACUGUGAACAUACCUAUUUGUUGCUUCGGCGGUAGCGCCCCGGCUGAGCCCGGAGCAAGGCGCCCGCCGAGGGACCCCUAAACCAGUUUUCUUAUAGCGGGAUAUUCUGAGUAAAACACAAAUCAUCA
rnacentral:misc_RNA from 1 species